rnacentral:rRNA from 1 species
GACGAACGCUGGCGGCGUGCUUAACACAUGCAAGUCGAACGGAAAGGCCCUGCUUUUGUGGGGUGCUCGAGUGGCGAACGGGUGAGUAACACGUGAGUAACCUGCCCUUGACUUUGGGAUAACUUCAGGAAACUGGGGCUAAUACCGGAUAGGAGCUCCUGCUGCAUGGUGGGGGUUGGAAAGUUUCGGCGGUUGGGGAUGGACUCGCGGCUUAUGAGCUUGUUGGUGGGGUAGUGGCUUACCAAGGCUUUGACGGGUAGUCGGCCUGGGAGGGUGACCGGCGACAUUGGGACUGAGAUACGGCCCAGACUCCUACGGGAGGCAGCAGUGGGGAAUAUUGCACAAUGGGCGGAAGCCUGAUGCAGCAACGCCGCGUGCGGGAUGACGGCCUUCGGGUUGUAAACCGCUUUCGCCUGUGACGAAGCGUGAGUGACGGUAAUGGGUAAAGAAGCACCGGCUAACUACGUG